UACAGAGGGGGCAAGCGUUGUUCGGAAUUACUGGGCGUAAAGGGCGCGUAGGCGGCCUGUUAAGUCGAACGUGAAAUCCCCGGGCUCAACCCGGGAACUGCGUCCGAAACUGGCAGGCUUGAAUUCGGGAGAGGGAUGCGGAAUUCCAGGUGUAGCGGUGAAAUGCGUAGAUAUCUGGAGGAACAUCGGUGGCGAAGGCGGCAUCCUGGACCGACACUGACGCUGAGGCGCGAAAGCUAGGGGAGCAAACGGG
rnacentral:rRNA from 1 species